UACCUGGUAAUAAACCAACAAUUCUACCUGCUUACACUGGAAGAGUUGAGUUUUCUGUGAAUGAUUAUUCUCUGAAAGUGAAGAAUCUACAAGAGGCAGACAGUGGAGUUUAUACUGCACGAGUGACAAGGGAUAGAGAGGAAAUAACUGAAUACAACGUCACAGUUCAAGAUUCUGGACCACUCCACAACGACAUCAAUGUCAUUGUCAUUGUGCUUGUUACUGUAACCCACUGGAUGUGCUGAAGCCUCCCUACACACCCAGAGACUCUGCGUUUGUGUUUAUGGUUGUGAUAGGGUGUUUGCGUGGGGAGAGAAGAGAAGCACUGGAGACAGGAGUUCUGGAUUGUGGCUGAGACCUGGAGACACUUUGUUGGCACACAUUGACAGCUUUCACCUCUGGUCCUCUACACUGGCUGCUGGCUCCGUCACCCUUACACCCUUAUAAUAUUUCUUACAAACUAUAUUCUAGUGCAAAGAAACAAAUAUUGUGUCAAAAUAAUGCUCUACAACUGAAAAUGAUAAAUUACAGGAAGUGUAAAUUAAAUACGGCACUCUAUGACUUCAUAAAAAUAAAUUAAAUGACUUAAAACAGCAAA